UUUUACAGUUAUGUCAAUUCUAAAACAGGGAAGAGAAAAUGAUUUGGCUCAUUUUGACUGAAUGGUGAAAAUGACAGAUGGAGGCGGAGAGUGUUCCACAUUCCUAAGGCUGUUGAUUCUACCAGGGGUGAAGAGGCUUUGGGAUAAAGCAUUCUCAUAAUCAACAGUAGGCUUUUGUUUGGACCAUCCUUUAUGCAUCAGUGGUGGAAGGAGGGAUGAAAACAGUGCGGAACAAUGGAAAACAACCUCUGCAUAAGUUAAAAAAAAAAAAAAAAAGCAAAGCAGUGGUACUCACAGAGAAGACUUUGAAGUAAGAGUAAUUGGGAUCUGAGCAUUGUCUUUGUACCUCACUAGUUGUACAUGGUUGACAAUUUAUAUAAGCUACCUGGUGUAUAAGUCUCUUCAGUUAAAAAAAAAAAAAAAGAAAAGAUGGGAUGGUAGUGAUCAUUAAAGACAUUGUUUUAGUAGUGUCCAUA
rnacentral:lncRNA from 1 species